AGUUGUUUUCUCGUCAUCACGACAUAAAAGUUUUUUUUUUACAGUGAUUGAUUCUGAAACACACUGUACCCGGAUUCUACUGUUGCUAUAGUAACGAACACAACUUUCACGCGCAUCUGAUCGACGGAUAAAUCAUGCGCUCUUAUAUCUUGUGGAUAUUUCAGCAAAAUGUUUACUUCACUUAAUAAUAAAGUUUACAAUAAAUAAAUACAUAUAGGCUAAUCAAUCACUGUUCAAUAAAUGUACGCUAAACAUUUUAUUUGUGUAAUUAACAUGUUUAAUGAUCAACAGAGCAUUCAACAUCUCAAGCGCAGCCAGAGUGCCUUGAGAAAGAUGCCAGAUUAUUCUAUAAUUCUAUAAAUUAUUCGAUUAAACCCACUUUAUUUUCCUCAUUCGUUUGAAAUAAAAUUAUAUUACAUAAUGUGUUUGUUAUUUUUAUUCGUCAUGUAGGAUAGGCUGUGAUAUCAUUAAACUGUCUUCCUCCAGCUUCCAUUAAAAAGAGGUGCAAUACUCCAGAUUUCCAAAAAACAAAACUUUAAUCCAGUUGAUAUAGGCUAAAACAAUCUUGGAAUGCUGUUUGAGAAGAGUGUUUAUGUAUGUGUGUUGUUUCCAACAAAGAAAUGUAGAAAAUACAAUAGGUUACACACUAUCACUGAAUUAAAUGACAUAGGCUAUAAAUCAUAUUUCUUAUCAAUAUACAUUGAGUGAGUGAGGUAAACGAACACUGAAACUGCGAUGAUUAAAAUGGCGUCCUAAAUAUACACAAUAAGGUGCAAACAGAAUACUAUACAGUGACAUCAAAAUUAGUUUUAAUAACUAACUGGUGAGUCAUGCACUAGUCAGAACGAUAACAGAUACACUUUCAAGCAAAAUAAUCAUAUUCAAGCAUUUAACAGUUAAGUUAAUUACUUCCCAACAAACACAGAACGUUGGCACAACGUAGCCAACCUUCUAACAACGUUUUAACAACGUAGCCAAAAGGUUGCUAUAACUACGUUGCGUUGUGAAGGUUGUUACAGCGUUGUCACAAUGUUGACAUCUGACCACCGCUCAGUUCCAUUGCUCAAGGUUGUGCUUGGGUGUCUGGACUACCACUGGACGACAUAAACUCAUCACUGGAUUCCUCUGGAGCUCUGUUAAAUUACAAACGAUCGUUGAUCCGUCUCUUCAUCGAGCCAGGAUACGCUAUUUUCUUACUCAUAGCUUUCAGUCAGGUGACUGGAGCAGAGACCUGGAGGGCAAAACACCCAUAGAACUGCAGGACAGGCCUGACAAUUUUCCAUCUGUUUCUACAAAUAUUACAUUGCGUCUCAAAAAAGGUAAACAAAAUAUGUGAGUAAAAUGCAUGUUUUGGGCACUUGUGAUCCACAUACAGCACCUGCUAAUAAAACAGUGAGAUUAAAAGAUAAAAUUCUUUAUACAGUUUAUCUAUGAUGCAUACUACUGUAUAUACAGGUGAGCAGAUGAGCCCAGAAUAUGAACGCCACUCACUAACUGGGCAAGCAGAUGAGCCUUGAACAUAAAUGCAAUGCCUAACGACAAACUGUAUGUUGCAUUUAUGUUCCAGGCUCAUCUUGCUUGCCCAUCUGUAUAUAUAAUAUGCAUCAUCAAAAAGGUGUAUAUUGAAUUUGGCCUUGUUUUACCCUCCAGGUGGGUGUUCCUAUAAAAACUAGCAAUGAAGGUAAGCAUACACUAUUUUAAGUAUUUUCUUGUAAACAAUCAAAUGGGUCUAUUAAUGAAACUAUUAAAUUUAAUACAAUUAAAGAUUAAGUAACAAUAAAAAGGUAACACUUUCAGAAUGUUUUCUUUUGUGGAAUUGACCUCAGAUCAGUGUAGCUGUAAUUCCUGAUGCAUGAAUGCAUUAGACAAGGUAAGUACUGUGUAAAAGUGAUGUUAGAUAUAAAAAUCGCUCUCUCUCUUGUUUUUUUUUAGGCAAUAUCAACACCAUACAACAGGCCCUGCUCUCCUUACCAAGAACAACACCUGAUCCAUCACGGACAUGGAAAGGUCUUGACACCUUGCCAAGAGCUGGAUUUUUUUGAGAUGCUGGGCGGACUACGGAGAAACUAUACACACAUUCAUUGAUGCCACAGCAACAUUUAAGUAAUUUCUCCUGUAAGGUAAUCU